UUUUAUAUUAUUUGAAAUUAAUUUUAUAUUAACUCGAAAUCGGGUAAUGAAUAGACAGAAUAUUGUCAAAGCUUAAAAACUUUCUUGAAAAUAGUUAUGUUGUCAAACAUUUCCCGUAGGACCCAGCACAGUGUAGAUCCUUAGAGUUAAGGUGGUUUUCUUGUUGGCCUGUUUUGUGUGGUAAAUGUUCACAUUUUUCUCACCGAAAAUGACCCAAACUGCAUUUGUGUCCGAUUUGGGUUCUCCUUUUUGGCCGUCCGCUUUAUGCAGCUCUGGUGGCAAAUGAAGCGUUGCCGUAUUGGCCUUAACUUGCCAAGUUAACAGUACUUCUAAUGACAGUUACCAGCUUGAAGCGAACGUGUGCAACAAGGACUUUUAUCCCAUGCUUGUGCCGCAAAUAUUUGUGAUAGUUUUUCUUUUUUUGCACCGUUAGCUCGAAAAAAGAGUCGUUGACUUUAGAAGCCUGCGCCAUGAAGAGGAUAUAGCUCAAUAAUA